GAUACGGGUGGUGGGCUCCCUGCUUGAGCAGGCACGACCACGCGUGCAUUCCUUUUCAGUUAGGCGACAAGGCUUGUAUCGUCUUGAUCGUUUAUGUGGGUUUCAUGUGUUGCAUACCUGAUCAAAGGCAUCGUUUUGAUCAAAAGCUUCCCUUUUCGUCUGACGUUGCACCUGCAUCGUUGGAUGAUUCASGUAGCAUCAUCUUUGGUCCAUGCWGUUGAKGUGAAUUCGUUGAUUGUUUGGCCCAUUGACGGUGACUUGGUCUCUUGAAUAUGGAAGCCAAAGUGGGCAUGGGAUCGCAAGAUCCUUUUACUGCCCUUUUUGAGCGUUCUCGCUUCUCUUAUACGACUGCCUUUCACGUAUGGCACGUCCCAGCGUGUUUUGGCUAUGUCGAAGAGGAAUGUUACCUGGUUGAUCCUGCCAGUA
rnacentral:misc_RNA from 1 species